rnacentral:misc_RNA from 1 species
UCUCCGUAGGUGAACCUGCGGAGGGAUCAUUACAGAGUUCAUGCCCUCACGGGUAGAUCUCCCACCCUGUGUUAUUAUACUUUGUUGCUUUGGCAGGCCGCCCGCGUGGGCUACCGGCUCCAGCUGGUAAGUGCCUGCCAGAGGACCCCAAACUCUGAAUAUUAUAUUGUCUGAGUACUAUAUAAUAGUUUAAAACUUUCAACAACGGAUCUCUUGGUUCUG